GUACGCUGGCGGCACGCCUAACACAUGCAAGUCGAACGAAGUAGCAAUACUUAGUGGCAGACGGGUGAGUAACAUGUGGGUAUCUACCCUUUGGCCUGGAAUAACACGAGGAAACUUGUGCUAAUACCGGAUAAGUCUUUACGGAGAAAGCUUUAUGCACCAUUGGAUGAGCCCGCACUUGAUUAGUUUGUUGGUAGGGUAAUGGCCUACCAAGACUAUGAUCAAUAGCUGAUUUGAGAGGAUGAUCAGCCACAUUGGGACUGAGACACGGCCCAAACUCCUACGGGAGGCAGCAGUGGGGAAUCUUGCACAAUGGAGGAAACUCUGAUGCAGCGAUGCCGCGUGAGUGAAGAAGGCCUUUGGGUUGUAAAGCUCUUUCGUCGGGGAAGAAAAUGACUGUACCCGAAUAAGAAGGUCCG
rnacentral:rRNA from 1 species